ACAAGGUUUCCGUAGGUGAACCUGCGGAAGGAUCAUUGCUGAAUUUAUUUUCAAAUCCCUUUCACACACCUGUGCACUCUAGCGCGAGGGGAGACCCUCCGCGUUUUUACAAUACACCUACGCCUGUCGUACGCAUGCGAUAAAUAAAAAAGUUUAUAUAUAAAAACAUAACUUUCAACAACGGAUCUCUUGGCUUUCGCAUCGAUGAAGAACGCCGCGAAAGCGCGAAACGUAAUGUGAAUUGCAGAAUUCAGUGAAUCAUCGAAUCUUUGAACGCAUCUUGCGCCCCUUGGCAUUCCGAGGGCAUGCCUGUUUGAGUGUCGUGAAGUACCUCGAAAUCGUGUCUUUUUCUGACACGGUUUCGGAUUUGGACGCCUGCCGCGCCACUGCGGCUCGUCUCUAAACGCAUUAGCGAAACGCGCCACCGGUCUAAGCUCUCAGACGUGAUAAAACAAGCGUCGACGGAGCGCGACCGUGCGUCGCUCACGAACCGUCCGCGAGGACAAUUCCACACGCAAAUGUGACCUCAAAUCAGGCAGGACUACCCGCUGAACUUAAGCAUAUCAA
rnacentral:rRNA from 1 species